GAUUAUGUUCUAUACUGCUAUGGGCUUAAAGCCAACAGGUAGGCCUCUGGGCUUAAAGCCAACAGGUAGGCCUCUGGGCUUAAAGCCAACAGGUAGGCCUCUGGGCUUAAAGCCAACAGGUAGGCCUCUGGGCUUAAAGCCAACAGGUAGGCCUCUGGGCUUAAAGCCAACAGGUAGGCCUCUGGGCUUAAAGCCAACAGGUAGGCCUCUGGGCUUAAAGCCAACAGGUAGGCCUCUGGGUUUAAAGCCAACAGGUAGGCCUCUGGGUUUAAAGCCAACAGGUAGGCCUCUGGGUUUAAAGCCAACAGGUAGGCCUCUGGGUUUAAAGCCAACAGGUAGGCCUCUGGGUUUAAAGCCAACAGGUGGGCCUCUGGGUUUAAAGCCAACAGGUAGGCCUCUGGGCUUAAAGCCAACAGGUAGGCCUCUGGGUUUAAAGCCAACAGGUAGGCCUCUGGGUUUAAAGCCAACAGGUAGACCUCUGGGUUUAAAGCCAACAGGUAGGCCUCUGAGCCAACAGCCGAUUGGGUGUAACCUUGUGAUAAGGCUGCAUCCUGUCUUCCAGACACUGAGGGUGCAGCUACAUCCUGUCUUCCAGCUGAUUGGAGGAGAACUGAAAGAUGACUUUUGUAUAGCAACAGCAAUAUGACCUGGAGACAGAAACUCCACCUGCUCUGAGCUAAUCUUGUUGUUCCUGCUUGAGUGCACAAAACAAACCCUUUUAUGCUUUCACACUUCUGCUGACUGCUACGUGGACAAAGAGCUUUUUAUUAAACCUGAGACCCAACUCUGUUCAGGGGCUCUUAUCUCCUCACCACUGAGUGAUUGUUAACCCCCUGCAGAAUUGUAAUUCUUAUAAUAAACGUUGUUUUAAGAAUCUG